rnacentral:misc_RNA from 1 species
UGUUCCCUCUAAUUCAACACCAACAAAUUCAACAUCCUCUUCAAACAAAGAGGGCACCGUUGCAGAUUUACGGCUUGUAUCACUGCCCACUGACCCAUCACUAGAAUCCUUGGACGAGGAUGAGCCAUUUGGUAGUAUGGAUUCUCCACUUGAGGAGGAAUUAACAUCAGGAGUUGCUACCUCAGCUUGAUCCGAAAGAUUGACAUCAGAGAGAUCAUGAUCUUCGAAUGGAUUCAAACUUGACCCACCUACUUGCAAAUCUGAUGAUUCUCCCCAUCCUACCCAUUCAGGGAAAGGCCUGUCCCCAAACAAGUAUUCAUUGUCUGGAGUAUCAAAUCUGAAUUUUACUUCCACUUCCAAAACAAACUUUGAGGAAUGGGAAUACUCCCAGAAAAUCCAUUGGCAAAGUUUGUUUUGGAAGUGGAAGUAAAA